rnacentral:rRNA from 1 species
AGCGAACGCUGGCGGCAGGCCUAAUACAUGCAAGUCGAGCGCUCCUUCGGGUGAGCGGCGGACGGGUGAGUAACGCGUGGGAACGUGCCCUUUGGUACGGGAUAACUGAGGGAAACUUCAGCUAAUACCGUAUGUGCCCUACGGGGGAAAGAUUUAUCGCCAUUGGAGCGGCCCGCGUUGGAUUAGGUAGUUGGUGAGGUAAAGGCUCACCAAGCCUACGAUCCAUAGCUGGUCUGAGAGGAUGAUCAGCCACACUGGGACUGAGACACGGCCCAGACUCCUACGGGAGGCAGCAGUAGGGAAUCUUGCGCAAUGGGCGAAAGCCUGACGCAGCCAUGCCGCGUGUAUGAUGAAGGUCUUAGGAUUGUAAAAUACUUUCACCGGGGAAGAUAAUGACGGUACCCGGAGAAGAAGCCCCGGCUAACUUCGUGCCAGCCGCCGCCGUAA